rnacentral:lncRNA from 1 species
ACGCUCAGGCCAGGACAGCAGUGACCGCUCCAUCAGGACGACGGGACACGGACAGCCUCGCCAGAAACACACAGUGAUGGGACCAGACCAUGGCACAAUCCUGGCCUCACUUCUCUUGACCACUCAGCUGGAAGGAAGAGCUGCCAACGCUCUGCAGGACAGGAUGGGCGUGACUGCUCCAUCAGGAUGACGGGAGAUGGACGGACAUGCCAGACUCAGACAGGGAUGGGACCAGAGCAUGGCACACUCCUGGCCUCUUUCCCAUGGACUAUUCCUCAGCUGGAAGAAGACAUGCCAACACUCUACAGGACAGGUAACAUC